rnacentral:misc_RNA from 1 species
AACGCACAUUGCGCCCGCCAGUACUCUGGCGGGCAUGCCUGUCCGAGCGUCAUUUCAACCAUCAAGCCCCACGGCUUGUGUUGGGGACCUGCGGGCUGCCCGCAGGCCCUGAAAUUCAGUGGCGGGCUCGCUGACACACCGAGCGAAGUAGCAUCAAGCUCGCUCAGGGCGUGCUGCGGGUGCCAGCCGUAAAACCGAGCUUUUAUUAGCACUAGGUUGACCUCGGAUCAGGUAGGAAGACCCGCUGAACUUAA